CAGCGCCACCAGUAGCCACGCUCUUGGCCACAACCGCAGCGUUGGAACUGCGCGAGGGGGGAUGAGGGGUCCAACCUAGGAAGCAGCGCCAACCAGGCUCCCCGGGGUGGGAGGCCCCGAGCCGAGGGCGCCACCUGUGGGAUCACGCCCCUCUAGCCGUGUGCUCAGGGCAUGACACGAGGGUAGGCAGCCUUGGCCGGGUUGCCACUAGGACUCAGACCCGGUCUCGCUGACAUCAGAGAUUGCCGGACCCUGGUACCCUGGGUGGGACUUCCGCAUCCUGGGUUUUCCCAUCGCUAGGAAUGUUUUACUGGUAACAAUAGUUGAGUUGAGAAGAUCCAUGCUCAUCCUGCGCGUUUCAGCACCAUUUGGACUGCUAGGUGACUUACCAAGCAUUGCAUGGGAGAGUCGUCUAUCAUUUUAAGUAAACGCCUUGGGAAAAGAAGUACCAUUCAUUAUCUAUAAUUUAUAUACCAUAUCUUAAUUAAAAUGCAAAGAAGAUAUGCCUUAAGAGUGGAGACCAGAGCAUUAGGGGCUGCACAAAUACUUCUUGGCUUUUUUCACUGUGCACUGGGGAUUCUCUGUGAAUGUUUGUUUAUCAGAGAGGCGGGCUUACAACGUGUUGGUUACAUCCCUACAUUUGUUAUAAUAAUUUACGCAUUUUGGUCAGCACCAUAUUGUGUUUCUGGCAUUGUUAUGAAUAUCUUAAGUGCCUGCUUUGCUGCACUUGGUGCAGUUGCCUUAAUCAUUGCGUGUGCAAGUUUUCAGUCAGAAGAAGAUUACACUUGGACACAGUUGGCUGGUACUAUGCUUUUACACUAUUUACUCUUCAUUGCUGUCUCAGAACUGAUCAUUGCAAGUAUAACUAUCCACUGGAUUGUGCAAGCAUUGCAGUAUCAAGAAUACGGCGACGAGAGUUCCUCACUAUCAGAAUUCUCCAUCUCUUCAUAAUUUGCAAAGAACCGGUGUGACUCUAGUCAAGAGCAAAAGAUGAAUCGUGAAUUAGUGAAGAACUCCGUAAUUUUUUUCAAGAGGCCUGAUGGAGAAUGCAUUUUAAUGAAGUCCUUUCUAGUACUCCUUUUUCCUACUUCUUCAAUAAAGGAUGCAAUUUGAUCACAA
rnacentral:lncRNA from 1 species